CUGCUUUACCACAGAAGGACACUACAAAUUGUGAGAAAACAGCAACCAAACGCAAUAAAUUAUAGUUUAUUAAUUAUUAAUCAAUCCAAUAAACGCUUUUAGUUUAAUAAGAAAUCGUCUCGUGCUUCCCGCCUGCUCUCGCAAUUCAAAAACAAACGGUCACAUCAACGCCCUGACUGACUGAUUUUUCACGUUUAAUGUUAAUUCACACAUUAAAUUUUGGAUAGUGUCACAUUAUUUUAAACAGUAUGUUAGGAACUCAAACAGAAACCAUUUUUUUUUUCUUCAUUUGGGCAUGCUAAAAAUGUGAAGGAGUGGCGAUACCUUUGCAAAAUUGUGAGAUUUACGUUGGAGGCGAUAACUCGUGUCAUCGUUUACUAUGGGGAUGACAGUAAAACUGAUACUGCUGGUCACUGAUCUUCUGUCUUCCUGUUGAAAUGUAACUCACUGUUGAUCCCUAAGGCGGAUGAAUGAUGCUAGUGUCACAAAUUUACACUCUGUCCUUCGUUGGUCUUGAUCAGGAUUUUCGGUGAUGGGGAGCUGCUCUGCUGAAAACCAUUCAUCCCUUUGGAACCUGUAAAAAAAAAGUUCAAAGGUGGCGAUCUCGAUGUCCAGCGCCAGCUUGACGUUCAUAAGCUCCUGGUAUUCGCGGAGUUGACGGGCCAUGUCCUGCUUGGCUCUCUGCAGCGCCUCCUCCAUAUCUUUGAUACGAUUUUUGGCCUCCUUCACGGUCA